GCAUAUCAAUCUGAAACUAUUUACCUGUAAGUGUUAUUGAAUAUUGUGACAAUAACAUGCCAGUUAUUUUACAAGGCCAUUAGGCUCUUUGACUUAAAGGGUUAAUUGUGUGUCUAUGUGACAGUGCUGAUCCUCUUUGCUUGUGCUGUAGGACUUUGUCUCACCAGGAUGUGGUAGAACACCAGCCCAAGGUAGCUAACUGAUCUAUAUACUUAGAAGUGAUUAAAAGCCUGCUAUGCAUGUGCUAUCCCCUGUUUGAUGAUGACGCAAAAAAAAUGUUUGUUUAACAUAUAGCAUAUGUAGUCUCUGUUGUUCUCAGGUCUCUGGUAUGCGGGAGAAGAGAGUAGGCAGAAGGCACAGAAGCUACAAAGAGAAAGUCAACUCUUAUCUACAUGUGCAUGCAUGUCUGACAAAUGACCAGCACAGGGAGCAGGACAUGACCUUUGACCUAGAUGCUCUCUAUCUGGGUUCACAUUCUCACAACCAAAACGAACAUGGUGACAAUGGAACCACUGGAACUGAUGGGAAAACAGAUGAAAAAAACCAUGAAAGGAGCCGACUUCCUGAUUUUACUCGACUGUCGAUCACGUGUCUGGGUUUGUCGUUCAUGCUCAUUCUCUCAUAUGCUGUCAUCACCCUCCUUCACAAACUGAAGAUACACAGGACUGUCUCUCAACAGGAUGUGGUAGAACACCAGCUCAAGGUCUCUAGUAUGCACGAGAAGAAAUUAGGCAGAUGGCACAGAAGCUACAACGAGAAGGUCAACUCUAUCUACAUGUGCAUGCCUGACAAAUUACCAGCACAGGGAGCAGGACAUGACCUUUGACCUAGACGCUCUCUAUCUUUGUGCGUCCCAAAAGCCUCCACACUUGUACUUUUUGAUCACUUCAUAUAGUGUCUAAAUGUGUUUGCUAUAGCCUGUUAAUUGGAAUGCUGUAUAAGGUCCACCUUUUGGCAUCGUCUAUGUUCACCACACUGAGACUGUGCCAUAUAAAAAUACCCUUUGGAUAAUUGUAGAGGAAUGCACACCUGACUGUAAGUCACUUUGGAUAAAUGCUGUGGAUAAAAGCGUCUGCUAAAUGGCAUAUAUUAUUAUUAUUAUUCUAUUACGAAAAGCUCAUUACGUGGUCAUAUAAAGGUACAGGGCUCAUCAUGUAAUCAUAUAAACAUACAAUGAGGAAUGUCAUACCUUACACACCAAGCCAUACUGCCCACUUAACAUGGAAGCCAGCAGCACCAAUGUUUUGGAGGAAACGCCAUACAGCUGGCAACCGAAGUCAGCAUGCAUAUGCACCCGGCCACCACACUGGGCCAAUUGUGCGCUGCUUCAUGUGUCUCCCGGUCGCGGCUGGCUGUGACGCAGCACGGUAUCAAACUCGGAUCUGUAGUGACGCCUCUAGCACUGCAGUGCAGUGCCUUAGACUGCUACACUACUCAGGAGGCACAUGCCAGUUACUUGACAAGACCAUUAAGAAAUAAAAAAUCUUUGGACAAAAAAACAGUUCGAUUGUGAGCGGAAGGCCAACAUAAAACAUUAUUAUAAAUAAUACAAGGUAGGCUAAAUUGAUUCAUAGAACAUGCACAAACCUGUCUCAGAGCAUUUCGUAUUAUUCUUUACGUAAAUCCGAUACACCACAUUUCGUAUGACAUGUUACGUUUCGUAUGGUAUGUAUUCAUUUGUGGAUGUCCAUCAUCCAAUUGUUAUGAUAUGUUACGAAGUACAAUUUGUUGUGGCUAACGUUAGCUAGGCUGUGUUAGGGUUAAUUAAGGUAAGGCUUAAGGUUAGGAGUUAGGUUGAACGGUUAGGGUUAGGGAAAGGGUUAGCUAACAUCCUAAGUAGUUGGAAAGUAGCUAAUAAGUAGUAAGUAGUUGAAAAGUUGCCAAUAAGCUAAAAGGCCAAAGUUCUCCGUAAUGAAAUGUGAACAUGCAACUUUUGGGUUUCUAGACGUUUGCAUUAUCCACCCACCCAUCUUUUUUGCCUUAUGUAACCAUGUCUUUAUGUAACCAUACCAAAUGUAGCAUAGUAAAUGUACACUCAAAUUAGUAUGCUAUGUUACGUGUAGUCUAUGAGACCAGGCUGCAGACCUAGCAAGCAACAGUAGAUGCUUUGCUAACUGAUUACACCAUUGAAAGAGAAGACUAUAUAUGGUGAUAUUCAGGUCAGGUCCUUCAGAAAACUGUCUCAGCUCAACAAAAUUGUCUUUGGUUAUCUAUAAAUACAUCUAUUUGCUAUUUGUUUCAACUGUAUUAGUCUAUAAAUACAUCUAUUUGCUAUUUGUUUCAAGUGUAUUAGUCCAUAAAUAAAUCUCUUUGCC
ensembl:lncRNA